rnacentral:rRNA from 1 species
UACGUAGGUGGCAAGCGUUGUCCGGAUUUACUGGGCGUAAAGAGCGCGCAGGCGGUCGUUCAAGUCGAGUGUGAAAGCCCCCGGCUCAACUGGGGAGGGUCACUCGAUACUGAUCGACUCGAAGGCAGAAGAGGGAAGCGGAAUUCCCGGGUGUAGUGGUGAAAUGCGUUAGAUAUCGGGAGGAACACCAGUGGCGAAGGCGGCUUUCUGGUCGUGCUCUUGGCACGCUGAGGCGCGAAAAGCUAGGGGUAGCAAACGGGG